CCACAGCAAUGCAGGAUUCAAACCACGUCUGUGACCUACACCACAGCUCACAGCAAUGCCAGAUCCUUAACCCACUUUGCAAGGCCGGGGAUUGGAUCCACGUCCUCCUGGCUACUAGUCAGGUUCAUUUACUGCUGAGCCAUGAUGGGAAAUCCAAAAAAUCAACUCCAAUAUAAAUUUCUUCAUAACUCAGUGAGUCUUUAUUUAGGUAGUGUAUGAUCUGUUAGUGCAAGAUACUAAAUGCAUCAGAAAAAUUCUUUAGAAAAAUAACCCUGUGAUAUUUAUUGAAACAGAGGAAUUCUUCUAGAAUGUGUAUCUCUAUCCUCAUUUUUCAGCUUGGGCAAGUUAGGCAUUUAUAUACUAUGUACACCUAUAUUCAAAUAAAAAGUUUACAUAUAUUUCUUUUUUCCUAGGUAUUCAUUAUGAAAUAUGUCACAAAGGGGAACAAGGAGUGAAAAAAUAACCUGUACACCAUGUGAUAAUUCAUCUGGCUUUGUUGGAAACGUAAAAAAACUUGUACAAUGACAGGCUGCUAAAAACAGCUAAUGAUAUUACUUUGUUUAUUUUGUUUCUUCAAGAUGUGCUGCAAUGUGGAGCUUCUCACAGGGUAUUUCUGAGAAGACUUUUUUUUUCCCUUCACUCAAGAACCAGAAUAAUUCCCUCCUGACACUGUUUGUGCCUAUAAGCACCAUCUCCAUGAUGCUGCCACCAUUAACAGAGCAAUUAGGAACUAUCAUGGUCUCAAAUUCUGCUAAGUGAUGAGACUCUACCUCAUAAAGUGUUCAUUAGAGGACAAAUUACCAUUUUUUAAAUAGAGUAAACAUCUUCUCAAAAUAUAUCUUUUCUGAUCUUCUUUGCCAAAAUCUCAGGUUUGUUUACUACUUCUAUUCAUUAUUAUAGUCAUUAGGACUAGUUCAGCUUGGAAGUGGUCAUGUUCUGAAUAUGAUUUUUUGAGCAUUAACUCAAAAUUCAAAAAAUAUCUUUGUGAUAUUUCUUUGAAUAGGCAGGGAUGGCAUCACCCAAAGCUACAUGUCAGUGCAUUCAGUGGAUAUGGGCAGAUCAGUUAAUAUGCAGUUGAGAGUGCACUUAACAAGCAUAGUUAUCUGGUUCUAUGUAGAGUUUUGCUACUUCACUGGAAUGAACAGAAUGUAUAUAUCUAUAUCUGUCAACUUUUUUUGUUGCAGAGGAACACAUCUCUCUGCAUGAAAAUUAAAAAUAUGUAAACAAACUAAAAAAUUAAAAACAUAAAAUAGCCCAGGUUAUGCUAAAAUUUAUAAAGUUCUAUGUUUUUGCUAUGUUAAUUAAUACCUUCUAUAACCAAUUCUCUAUUUUUGCUACUAUAUUUCAGAUCUGGUUUUUACUUACACAUUGGAGGGAGCCUGAUGUGUUCAGACAAUGAUCAUUUCUACCCAGAUCAACAACAGGAUUCAAUAAAUAAAGAGCUGAAUAUCAAGAAAGAGAUUUAGGGUAGCCUGAUCAAAGAGAAUUUCUAAUUUGAGUGUUUCUCAUUUUACAUGCAUGUUUGUAAAGUUUUAAAGAAUGUUUACUACUAAAUUGCCAAGACAAAUUAAAAGUAUUAUUGACUCAGAGGGCUGGGAUGUUUUAAGGUUUUCCAAUUCUCGCCUUCUCUCUUUCACUUUAAAUUUUCUCAGUAAGGACUCUGCAAUUCCUGUCAACCUGUGAAGUACUCAGUCUGAGCUCUCCUGAUAGCAUACAAAGCCGGAGGCAAGCCCACACUCUAAAACAGGCUUGCUUCAAUUUUAUACUCCAUUUAACACUUCAUUUUUAUGCUCAAACUUCAUUUUAGUCUGCUGUGUUAAAUUUCUAGCAUCUACCUGAUUUGGGCCAUGGAUUUGAAUGCAAAAGUUACAAAAGAUACUUUGGGUAAAUCUUGGUUUCAAUACCCAAGAAGGGCAGGGAUGAGAGCCCUAUGUUUAUAACUAUGGAAAAAAUCGAGUUUUAAAACUAAGGGCCGUAAAACACACAUAGGGAGCCUAACUUCAAAAGGAGCUACAAAAUAUACUCUAAAAAUAGUGGGAGUUUCACAGCAGAUGGUCCAUAGAUCAUUUGAUUGAUAUGCAAUGCCAAGGGGAGCUGUUGGGGAAAAAAUAUAUGUAGUAGGUGUGCCUGGAAAUUAUACAGAUACUUAAAUUCAGGAAAGCGUAGCAGAGAUAAGAAUUGUCUACUUCUUCUGGAGAGGACUGUAGGUCCUAAGAGAUAAAUAUGAAAGGCUUGUAUUAGAUUUUCUUUGGAAUGAAUUUUCAUAUCCUGGCUUAGUUUUCUCAGAAGUGUUUAGAUGCCUUAUUAUGUGGCUGAUGUUGCAAGCUGUGCAGUUGUGUAAGGCCCAUACUUGGAAGAUCCCCAUGCUUAGUUUAAUGCUCUGCUGUUGCCACCUUGACAUUCUUUAGAAUUUUCAAUCAAGAGGUCCAAACUGUCAUUUUGUGCUGGGUCCCAGAAUCUAUGUAACAAGACUAGCUUCUUCCAAAAUACAAAUUAAAUUUUUAAAGGAAAGCAAUUUUGCAUCAUCUAGAUGAGGCAUCAUUUCUCCCAAAUUGUGGAGUGACAAACAUAGAAAAGGAUUAAGGACAGAGUCUCUAAGUAACCAUGCCUGCUGUGAAUCUCAAGGCCUUUGAGGCUUAUCAAACAAAAUGGUAUGCAGAUUCUAUUUUUAAAACCACAGUUUUGGGUGUGUACAAUAAACCCACAGUUUAGUUAUGGAGAGGUGGGUGACACUAUCUGAUGUUAGGUGCUUUGGGGUCCUGCUUUCUAAAUAUUAUGCACAAUAAAUACACACCAGUAUGUUGUGGUUCCACAUAAAAUCAGCAGGACAGAUUAUUGCUAGGCACUUAUUUUCCCAAAGCAAAGACAACAAAUAGAAUCUCUUUGCUAUAAGUCAAGCAAAGUGAAUAGAAAUAGUCCAUUUGACAAUGCUGAUAUUUCACAGUGUGGGUAGAUCCAGUCAGUCCCUACAUAUGCCAACAUCUCUCAAUUGUAUUGAUAAACAUUCACACCAGGAUGUGUGCAGAAAAGGUAGGAUACAGUUGAUUCCUCAUCAGCCAUGUUAGUUAAAAAUAUUAAACAGGGAGAUGUUGAUUAUUUCUCCCUCAUAGUGAUAAAGAUGUUCUACUUUUAAUUAAAUGUGAUUCCUAAAUAGAGUCUAGUAAGCCAAAUUCCCCUAAAAGAACUAAAACUAAGAUUUAUUUUAUCAUUCCCUGGUUAAAUUCACAUUUAUAAAUUUCCUUUUCGUGACCACCUCAGGGUUCUUCUUCAAUUCAAUAUUAAACCAUGUACCAUCAAAUAUUAAUGAGAAAAGUCAGAUCCAUUUAUAUUUUAUGCUGAAAUGUAGCCAAUCCUUCCAUAGCGAUAAUACAAUUACGGAACUAAUUUUGAAGUGCAUAAUGGAUUUUUAAAAGUUAACUUAUCCUUACUAGCCUGCAGCCAGAUGUUAGGUUAGGUACUGGGGGAGGCGAAAAGACCCUCAUUGCUGUAGCAUAUUCACAGUUUAGCACAGGAAUACCUGAGUUGGAAUUAUCCCAUGGGACUAAUAAAUGUAUAGUUUGUUUUUGUUUUGUCUUUUCUAGGGUCCCUCCUGUGGCAUAUGGAGGUUCUCAGGCUAGGGGUCUAAUCGGAGCUGUAGCUUAUGAUUAGACCAGCCUACGCCAGAGCCACAGCAAUGCAAGAUUCGAGCUGCGUCUGUGACCUACACCGCAGGUCAUGGCAACGCCAGAUGCUCAACCCACUGAGCAAGGUCAGGGAUCUAACCUGCAACCUCAUGGUUCCUAGUAGGAUUCGUUAACCACGGAGCCAUGACUAGAACUCCCUGAAGUGUUAGACUUCAAGUCCCCUUCAAGUAGAUUAAACCCAAAGCCUCUGGCCAUGAAUUAUCAGACUCUUCUCAUUGCCUCACUUGCCUCAUUGUCAUGCCCCUUCCCCCAACUUGGGCAACCAUAUUACAAUGUUUUAAAAUU
rnacentral:lncRNA from 1 species